AGUUUCAAAGCAUACCCAUUGGACACGAACGCUUUCAUGAAGAGGAAAUUGUUUUAGAUAUAUCUGUAAAACCAAUUUAUGGUAGGUACAUUUUCAUAAAUUAUGACUAAAACAAGAUGAAAGUUAAAAUAAUUACUUAUGAAAAAAGAAGAUGUGGUAUGAUUGCCAAUGAGACAACUUUCCACAAGAUACCACAAAAUGACACAGAAAUUAACCACUAUAGGUCACCAUCAAGCCAUCAAAAAUGAACAAAUAUAAAAAAGAAGAUGUGGUAUGAUUGCCAAUGAGACAACUAUCCACAAAAGACCAAAAUGACACAGACAUUAACAACUAUAGGUCACCGUACGGCCUUCAACAAUGAGCAAAGCCCAUACCGCAUAGUCAGCUAUAAUAGGCCCCGAUAAGACAAUGUAAAACAAUUCAAACGAGAAAACUAACGGCCUUACUUAUGUAAAAAAAUGAACGAAAAACAAAUAUGUAACACAUAAACAAACGACAACCACUGAAUUACAGGCUCCUGACUUGGGACAGGCACAUACAUACAUAAUGUGGCGGGGUUAAA
rnacentral:lncRNA from 1 species